CAUGGACUUAAGGACUUGAUCUUUCGAUAAUCAUAGGAUUACUCUCAUCUACCGAAGUUGAUAGAUCCCAUCUUGGUGCGAUCUGAUUCCUACAAUGAAUAUGCUACAGCCAACAUACACCUCAGGAUUCCAAAUGGCUAGGAGAUCGAGUUAUGGUGUAGUCAAACUAUAACACACUCAAGAUGAACUGUCGAUGUACCUC
rnacentral:lncRNA from 1 species